UCUGUUGGCUGAUGCUUGGGGCAGGAGAGAGGGUCUCUGCCGGCCUGGGCACCUCUCACUUCCCAAGUCAGCAGAUCCAUCUUUCUGAUGCUAUACUGUAAAUUUAUUUCACCUCGGAGAGUAAACAGAUAUAUUGGAGCCCCAAGGGUUCAUGGGUAGCGUAUUUACAAAGGAGCCUCUCCGCCAGCCCGUGCCACCGCUGCUAAUGAGAGCGGUCAUUAAGUAAAUGAGACGUCGCCUUUAGCUGGCUUAGGAGUCGCACACUAAAGGGAGAAGAUAUUUAAUUGAAACCCGCACACAGGCUUCCCCACAUGUGACCGCGGUGAGGGAGGCAGCUGCCUCCCCUCCCCCGUCCACCCUGCACCCCCCAUGUAAAUUUCAUGAUUGCUUUCCGUGAUGUCAUUUUGAAGGAGGACAGACAAUAGCUGUGGGGAAAGAAAAUGAGUUCCGGGGUGAGCUGCUGAGUCAGAGGUGGACACAAGGAGACAAAGCCAGCAACUGCAGGACCUCGAGGCUCCUCCUGGGCCGACGCGGCAAGGUGAGGCGCUUGGAGGGCAGCCCCUUCCCUGCCACCUGCCCCCCGCCCUGGGUCUGGGCAGGGCUCCUUCUCACUUCCAAGCAUGGGGCACGGAGGUGACUUUUGUCUGGUCACCACGAGUCUAGGGUAGACAGAGGGUUACAUGGGGGCUAGGACCAUCAGUGAUCUGGUCACUGUGAACCUUAAGGAAGAAAAAUGACUCUGAAUAGAGUGAAACUAAAAUAUGACAGCAGGGUGUUGCCUGGGCCAGGUGGGGGCUCUGGGUCUGGUCACACGGGGCUGUCCCCGUAGCUGCUCCCCAGGCAGGCCGAAUGCUUGGUAGACUUUGCUGCGG
rnacentral:lncRNA from 1 species